GUCCUAUGGAGGAGGCAGCAGAGACUCUGCUCUCCUCGUUUGGAUUAAUUCUGAUAUAAUAACUGUUGGUUUAUUUAUCGGUGCAGCAGCAGAACAUUUUCCACAGACAGUUUUCCUGCCCGUUGGCUUGUUUUAACCAGUUUUCUACCUUUGGCUGAUUCUACCAGCAGACACUGAAAGGACUCUGAUAGUUCGAGUGAAAGUAGCAGUUCCUCCUGAAGGUCAGAGAUUGCAGCAACCGAGGGCCUCUUCAAAAGAAGAUGUAGUUGAUGAAGGCGUUCUGGAGCAGGACCAGAAAGACCACGACCAAGCAGCCUUGAGAUCUUAGACAGCGUCUCCCUCAGGUCCCUCUCUAUCUCCCCACACAUCCACCAACCACUGGAACACAUCUCCAAAGUUCUGCUGGACCAGCUCAGCUUCCCCUCAGAAGAAGUGCUGCCACCUGCCAGAUGAAGGAGCCUUUUGAGAGGCAGCUGGCAUCGUGAUUGGACUGUACUUUGGUCUGUUCCAAUCCAGCUUCAGCUCCAGAGACGGCAGGUGGGACGAGUCAACGGAGGCCGGAUGGACAAAGGCAUGAAGCUGAGUACAAUCCAGAAAACAACAGAGGAGGAGUGCAGCAGCCCAGAGCCAGAACAACCAGAGUAGCAUGACCAAAGAACUACAGACUCUUCACAACCUGCUCAAACUCUUGGUACAGGACCUCACCACACGGGUCAAGAAGGUUUCUGUCUCAUUUCUACUCUGAAGCUCACCUUCUCCUGCU
ensembl:lncRNA